rnacentral:rRNA from 1 species
UAGGGAAUAUUGGUAAUCUGGGAAACCGGGAACCAGCAACGCCGCGUGCGCGAUGAAGGCCUUCGGGUUGUAAAGCGCUUUUUAAAGGGAUGAGGAAGGACAGUACCUUUAGAAUAAGCCUCGGCUAACUACGUGCCAGCAGCCGUGGUAAAACGUAGGAGGCGAGCGUUAUCCGGAUUUACUGGGCGUAAAGCGUGUGCAGGCGGUUUGAUAAGUUGGAUGUGAAAGCUCCUGGCUUAACCGGGAGAGGUCGUUCAAAACUAUCAG